GAUGAACGCUAGCGGCAGGCCUAACACAUGCAAGUCGAGGGGCAGAGGAAGCUUGCUUCCUUGAGACCGGCGCACGGGUGCGUAACGCGUAUGCAAUCUACCUUUUACAGAGGGAUAGCCCAGAGAAAUUUGGAUUAAUACCUCAUAGUAUAUAUCAUUCGCAUGUUUGGUAUAUUAAAGUUCCAACGGUAAAAGAUGAGCAUGCGUCCCAUUAGUUAGUUGGUAAGGUAACGGCUUACCAAGACGAUGAUGGGUAGGGGUCCUGAGAGGGAGAUCCCCCACACUGGUACUGAGACACGGACCAGACUCCUACGGGAGGCAGUAGUGAGGAAUAUUGGUCACUGGACGCAAGUCUGAACCAGCCAUGCCGCGUGCAGGAAGACGGUCCUAUGGAUUGUAAACUGCUUUUGUACGGGAAGAAACACUCCUACGUGUAGGAGCCUGACGGUACCGUAAGAAUAAGGAUCGGCUAACUCCGUGCCAGCAGCCGCCGUAAGAC
rnacentral:rRNA from 1 species